AGGCGUUGGAUACUUGGAUAUUGCUAUGGGUAGGAUGGAUAACUUGAGAAGGGAGGCUAACAAGGAUGAGGUGAGUGAGAGACAGACUGAUUUAGUGGCCCUAGCUUCGGAAGUAGUCUCACACUUGCAUCUCACAACCUUUUUGAGGUAAUAGCUUUCUUUGUUAAGUAUUACAUUUAAGUUUUGUUUCUUUGUUAAGGUAUUUAACCAUAUGCUAUAUUUAUUAUCUCCAACUUACUUUAUGAAUGAUCAAAUUUUUUUAAUGUACUUACUUUAUUAAAAGAGAAGAUGGAUCUAAUUAAACAACCUAACUAAACAACCAUGAAAAGGGAGUAUUUAAUAAGAAAAGGGAAAGAUACUAAUUAAACAACCUAACUAACAAAUAACUAACAGUCUAAUAUUAACUAAAUAACAAAACAAAAACAACCAAAAACAGAAAAUUAGACUAAGUAGACUAGCUGUUUGGAAUGUUAGGGUGUGUUUAGUGGUGCAACUUUCUAAGAUGUGACUUUCUAGUAAAGUUUAUUUUUUGAAUGGGGAAAAUUAUAUUACAUCUGAUGAAUUAAAUGUUCAGUUAGGGUAGUUGCAUUGGCACCCCUUUAAAUUCCUUUUUUCAUCUUCCAAAAUUUUCACAACUCAAUCAAUGCAUGAUCUUCUCCCAUUUAUAAUUAAAAUAUAAUCCACACACAAACUAUAAACAUUUUGUGCCCUUCAUAUGCAAUCAAAACCAAUAAGAACAAUCUGUAGAAAAAAAUGGCAACUCGUACCAAUCUUCUCGUUUUCACUAUUGCAAUUAUGUGCUUUGCUUCAGUUAUGUUUGGUGCUGUAGCUGAUGUGAGAGAUGAAGGAAAUUGCCAUCUUAUGAAUGUAUGUUACACACCUGGAUGCGAACAGUAUUGUUCAUCGUUAAAAGGAGGCUCCCCUAAUGGUGGCAGUUGUCUUCCAGGCUCGACUAUUUGUUGUUGUA
rnacentral:lncRNA from 1 species